rnacentral:lncRNA from 1 species
AUUUUUCCAAAGUUUUUCCUGGAAUUUUUCCAAGGUUUUUCCUGGAAUUUUCCCAUUUCCGGUCGUUUCCUCCAUGGAUUUUCCCUCUUUAAUUCCAACUCUNUUCUGUUUUUUUUUUGUAGGAAAACCCAAAAAACUGGAAAAAAAAAAAACAACAAAAAACCACCACGAAUUCUAAAAGGGCUACGAGGAAAGGGGGGGAAAAACGGGAAAGGAGGAGAAGGAAAAAUGGGGAAAAAAGGGAAAAAAUCGGGAAAAAAAAUUCCCAAGAAAAGGAAAAAAAAUUGAGAAAAAACUGGGAAAAAUUGGAAAAAAAAUUGGGAGAAAAUUGAAAAAAAAUGGGAAAAAUUUGGAAAAAAAUUGGGAAAAAAAUUGAAAAAAAUCGGGAAAAAAAUGGGGAAAAAUUUGAGAAAAAAUUGGGAAAAAAUUGAAAAAAAUUUGAGUAAAAAUGAGGAGAAAUUGAAAAAAAAUUGGGAAAAAAUUUGAGAAAAAAUUGGGAAAAAAUGGAAAAGAAAUGGGAAAAAAUUUGAGAAAAAAUGGGGAAAAACUGAAAAAAGGGUAAAAAUUGAAAAAAAAUGGGGAAAAAUGGAAAAAAAAUUGGGAAAAAAUCUGGAAAAAAUUUGAAAAUAAAAUGGGGGAAAAAUUGAAAAAAACUAAGAAAAAAACUGAGAAAAAAUUGGGAAAAAUGGAAAAAAAAUUGGGAAAAACUGAAGAAAAAAUCAAAAAUAAAAUCGGGAAAAAUUAAAAUAAAAUCGGGGAAAAAAAUGAAAAAAUUUUGGGAAAAAUUUGAAAGAAAAAUGGGAAAAAAAUUCAAAAUAAAUCAGGAAAAAUUUAAAAUAAAAUCGGGAAAUAUUAAGAAAAAAAUGGGGAAAAAAUUUGAAAAAAAAUGAGGAAAAAUGAAGGAAAAAUUCGGGAAAAAUUUUAAAAAAAAAGGGAAAAAUUUGAAAUAAAAUGGAGAAAAAUUAAGGAAAACAAUCAGGAAAAAAAACGGGAAUGAAAAGAAAUCAAAUUCCAAGGAUAAAAUAUAAAAAUUUCCCGACCCCUCCCCCUUUUCCCGGGAAUUUUUUUUUCCUGGAAAAGUUGGAAUUAUCCCAAAGAGUUUUUUUUUCCCCUCCCCCCACAACAUUCCCAGUAAAUAAAUUAAUUCCAAAUUUCUUUGGGGAAAAAAGGGAAUUUUUCUGGUUUUUUUGGGGGGAAAAAAGGGUAUUUUUACAUUUUUUUAAGGAAAAAAAGGGAAUUUUGUGGUUUUUCCCAAGAAUUCCGUUGUUUUCCCCAGGAAUUUCACGUUUUUUCCCAGGAAUUCCGCGUUUUUCCCGGGAAUUUUGUGGUUUUUUCCCAGGAAUUCUGUAUUUUUCCCAGGAAUUCUGUAUUUUUCCCGGGAAUUCCGUGUUUUUCCCGGGAAUUAUCCAGACUCGGAGUCGCUGGUGUCGGAGGAUGAGGAGGAGGAGCUGGAGCUGCUCGAGUCCGAGCUGGAGCUGGAGGCGCUGAGUCGCGACGCCGCCGCCGCCGCCGCCGAUUCCGGCUUCUCGCUCGCUGCCAACGGGAAAAUUCCGGGAAAAUUCGGGAUCGGGGAAGGGGCAAAGUUCACGGAAGAAACGGGAUUGGGGGAGGGGGAGGUGUUCUCAUCCCGGAAUUCCCAGUUCUGAUCCCAAAAUUCCCAAUCCUGAUCCCAAAAUUCCCAAUCCUCAACCUGGAAUUCCCAGUCCUGAUCCAAAAAUUCCCAAUUCUCAUCCCAAAAUUCCCAGUCCCAACCCCAGAAUUCCCAAUCCUGAUCCCGAAAUUUCCAAUUCCCAUCCAAGAAUUCCCAAUCCUGAUCCCAGAAUUCCAAUCCUGAUCCCAGAAUUCCUUCCUGGAGCUUGGAAUUCCCAGUCCCCAUCCCAAAAUUCCCAAUCCUGAUCCUGGAAUUCCCAAUCCUGAUCCCAAAAUUCCAAUUCUGAGCCCAAAAUUCCCGAUCCUGAUCCCAGGAUUUCCAAUCUUCAUCAGAAAAUUCCAAUCCCCAUCCUGGAAUUCCUGCCUGGAGCUUGGAAUUCCCAGUCCCAAUCCCAAAAUUCCCAAUCCUGAUCCCAAAAUUCCCAAUCCUGAUCCCAGAAUUCCCAAAAUUCCCACCUUUUUUUGGGGGUUCUUGGCAGAGUUGAGCUGCCCAACCCCUCCCCAAUCCCCAGAAUUCCCAAAAUCCCCAAAAUUCCCCAAUCCCAAACCCCCAAUCCUCAUUCCCAGGAUCCCCAGGAUUCCCAGAAUUCCCAAAAUUCCCAAAAUUCCCGGAAUUCCCACCUUUUUUUGGGGGCUUCUUGGCAGAGUUGAGCUGCCCAACCCCUCCCAAAACCCCAAAAUCCCCAAAUUCCCCAAUCCCAAACCCCCAAUCCUCAUUCCCAGGAUCCCCAAAAUUCCCAGAAUUCCCAAAAUUCCCGGAAUUCCCACCUUUUUUGGGGGGUUUCUUGGCGGAGUUGAGCUGCCCGCUGACGUCCUGGAGCCGUUUCUCCAAUUCCCG